rnacentral:rRNA from 1 species
GGCGCAAGCCUGAUCCAGCAAUGCCGCGUGAGUGAAGAAGGCCUUCGGGUUGUAAAGCUCUUUUGUCAGGGAAGAAACGGUGGGAGCUAAUAUCUGGGACUAAUGACGGUACCUGAAGAAUAAGCACCGGCUAACUACGUGCCAGCAGCCGCGGUAAUACGUAGGGUGCAAGCGUUAAUCGGAAUUACUGGGCGUAAAGCGUGCGCAGGCGGUUUUGUAAGUCUGACGUGAAAGCCCCGGGCUCAACCUGGGAAUUGCGUUGGAGACUGCAAGGCUUGAAUCUGGCAGAGGGGGGUAGAAUUCCACGUGUAGCAGUGAAAUGCGUAGAGAUGUGGAGGAACACCGAUGGCGAAGGCAGCCCCCUGGGUCAAGAUUGACGCUCAUGCACGAAAGCGUGGGGAGCAAACAGGAUUAGAUACCCUGGUAGUCCACGCCCUAAACGAUGUCUACUAGUUGUCGGGUUUUAAUUAACUUGGUAACGCAGCUAACGCGUGAAGUAGACCGCCUG